UACGUAGGGUGCAGGCGUUAAUCGGAAUUACUGGGCGUAAAGCGUGCGCAGGCGGCCCCUUAAGUCAGAUGUGAAAUCCCCGGGCUUAACCUGGGAACUGCGUUUGAAACUGGGAGGCUUGAGUGUGGAAGAGGGGGGUGGAAUUCCAGGUGUAGCAGUGAAAUGCGUAGAGAUCUGGAGGAACACCGAUGGCGAAGGCAGCCCCCUGGGCUAACACUGACGCUCAUGCACGAAAGCGUGGGGAUCAAACAGG
rnacentral:rRNA from 1 species